rnacentral:lncRNA from 1 species
GACAGAAACACCACUGCAGAACUUUUCUUCUACCUGAGGUUGGCGCUUAACUCCUCAGGAACAUGCUGGUUGAAGGCAAGAAGACUCGUGUUUGUUUUCUCCAAAGCAAAAGGCACAUUCCUGGCACAUGCUCAAGUAUGGAAGAAGAAGGGGAAGAGGAAGGGGGGGUCAUGUCCCCUCUGUCAAGCUCCCUGCCUUACAUAAGGGAGAAUUAACCUUAAGCAGGACAACUAAGAGCCCUGCAGUUAUGGAAUUCCCUAGUAAGACCAGACCUUCCAUCUUUUUCCUCAAUCACAGCAGGGCAGGUCUCAAAGACACAACAAAAAUGUUUCAUUUGGAAAAUAUCAAAAGGACCUGUUUCAGGAUUUCCAAAGUAAACUCAUUCUGGAGGAGGUCGAAGUGAAACAUCUGUCAGUCUCGUAAUCUCUUUCUCUCCUUCCACUGAGAAAUGGAGUUUAUGGGAAGGUACAGUUCAUUAAGAAAAGGAAAUUUGCCCCCUUUUCUUUACUAUUUCUGAAAACCAGGCCAUCAUACUGAAGAGCAUGAUUCGCAGAUUUAGUGGGAAACAUGCCUAAACCAGGCAAGAAGAAAAAUUCCAUGGAAAUCAACUUCCAAGUCAAACAGUUUCUGUAGGUCUGUGUUUGAAAUCUUCCCCCUGGAAGCCUAAGUUUAGGCAUCAGCUAAUUCAGUUUCUGGUCUUAUUAAAACAGCAUGAGAAGGAAAAACCAGCCAGACAACUCUGUAUAACUGUUGUAAUGUAAAUUAAUUCUAGUACUGUGAACACCUUAGGGUUACAUUCUUGUAACAUAAAUAUCAAUAAAGGAAAAAAAAAAAGCCUACA